GAAAGUCAGCAAAAUGUAUCUAUAACCUUGGAAAAAGGAUUUGGGUCCUAGUUCUAAACCCAUCGAGUUGGUCCUACGACGAGAGCAUGUCAUCGCAUGUCGAUCGGUAGACAAAUUGGGAAUGAACCCUUUUCGGGUUUUUCCCCGAACGUCAAACAAUCGACUUAUAAUUGGUACAAACAAGAUGAAUUUGAUUGUUUAAUUAAAACAAAGCGUUGUGAUGGUCACUAUCAAUAUUGAUGCAAUGCGAUUAAUGUCAUGUGUUCUAAAUGUCAAAGUGAAAAAAUUCAACCAAACAUAGGUAAAAUGCUAUGACUCUUAAGGUAUUAAAUGUCUCAUCAUCUAAUUAGUUAUUCUGGUGCGUAAAGCAAAUAGCAAUGGC
rnacentral:ncRNA from 1 species